CGCACGGGUGCGUAACGCGUAUGCAACCUACCUUGUACUGGGGGAUAGCCCGGAGAAAUUCGGAUUAAGACCCCAUGGUAUUAUUUUAAUGCAUGUUAGGAUAAUUAAAGGUUACGGUACAAGAUGGGCAUGCGUCCUAUUAGCUAGUUGGAGAGGUAACGGCUCACCAAGGCUACGAUAGGUAGGGGGCCUGAGAGGGUGGUCCCCCACACUGGUACUGAGACACGGACCAGACUCCUACGGGAGGCAGCAGUGAGGAAUAUUGGUCAAUGGGCGCAAGCCUGAACCAGCCAUGCCGCGUGCAGGAAGAAUGCCUUAUGGGUUGUAAACUGCUUUUAUUUGGGAAUAAACCCCUGGUCGAGCAUCAGGGCUGAAGGUACUAAAUGAAUAAGCACCGGCUAACUCCGUGCCAGCAGCCGCGGUAAUACGGAGGGUGCAAGCGUUAUCCGGAAUCAUUGGGUUUAAAGGGUCCGCACGCGG
rnacentral:rRNA from 1 species